AACGAACGCUGGCGGCAGGCUUAACACAUGCAAGUCGAGCGCCCUAGCAAUAGGGAGCGGCGCACGGGUGAGUAACGCGUGGGAACGUACAAUUUAGUGGGGGAUAACUUCGGGAAACUGAAGCUAAUACCGCAUACGCCCGAGAGGGGAAAGAUUUAUCGUUAAAUGAACUGCCCGCGUGAGAUUAGGUAGUUGGUGGGGUAAUGGCCUACCAAGCCCACGAUGUCUAGCUGGUCGGAGAGGAUGCUCAGCCGCACUGGAACUGGGCAACGGUCCUGAGUGCUACGGGAGGAAGCAGUGGGGAAUAUUGGACAAUGGGGGAAAGCCUGAUCCAGCCAUGCCGCGUGAAUGAUGCAGGCUUUAGGGUUGUAAAGUUCUUUCACCUAUGAAGAUAAUGACGGUAGUCGGAGAAGAAGCCCCGGCUAACUUCGUGCCAGCCGCCGCCGUAA
rnacentral:rRNA from 1 species